CGCUUUGUCGAGAAGAAAUAGAGAGACAGGACGUCGCGUCGAUCCCUUUUCCUUUCCUCCCCAAAACACGCGCCCCUCUCCUCCUCUCCCACAGCUAGGGUUGCCGCCGCCGCCGCCGCCGCCCUCCCCGCGCUCGCGGCCUCUCCACCUCGCAGCAGGAGCUCCCGCGCCGCCCCGUCCCCUCGCCCAUGCAGGCCUCGCCGCAGGAGAGAGGUAGCGCGCCCGCGCCGCCGGGUAGCAGCCACACCCGGAGGAGGUCGUCCAUGGAGCCCGCAUCCCCGUCGUCGACCUUGCGCACACGGAAGGUCUCUGCUGCUGGCCAAGGUCGACCAGGUCGACAGCGCGCUCGCCGGCCUGCAGCUCAUCCUGGAGCCUACGGCUACUAACAUAAAAGAGCAAACUGGAAAUUCAUCUGCAUAUUUUAGGUCGAUUUGAAUGAUGUAAAAGGUCACCGCUGCUGGCCGAGGUCAUGUUGGAUGCCCAUUUGUGGUCCUUUUUCCCUUGUUCUUGUUGUACACACUAUAGAUCAUUUUCAUGGAUUUCUGAUAUGAUUGCUUCAGUGAUGAUUUUUGCAUAACCACAUGCUGAUGGUGCACUUGCCUUUGGAAUUAAAGAUCAGCUUAGCACACUGACCAGAGAUCAUAUAAAAAUACUUGACUCUACAGCAGUAGGAAGGGACAGAUACAGAGAAGGGGAUCAGGGGAGUGGAUUCCCAUAAUGAUGCAAGAAAAAAUGUCUUUGGGUCCAACAUAUAACGUUGAAGGAAAGGAAGAAGCUUCUUGGUAAUGGAGAUGGUUCUCUUAUAUUUGGUAGGAGGUAGAAAAAAUCCAGCAUGGAAAAACACCACAUUCAACAUGGUGUAAUUAUGAUGAUCUAAAUGAGUACUUGUGGUCUGUUUAUGGCCUUAUUUUCUGGUCACAUACCGACACGCGUUUUCAAAUUUUCUCUAAUAUAGAUCCUACUAUGUUUCAGUACAUCUAAUUGUUUCUCGCUAGGAUGGCCAAUGCGGGAUGAUGGCACUGAGGAAUGAUUGAAUACAGCUAAUCAUUUUGGAGGUUUGUUGUAGGCCGCUCUACAAGGUAUUUUGUUAAGAUAUGCUCUUUCUCUGUCUGCCAUUUUAGCCAUCAGUUGAGGAUUUAACUUACCAGGUUUUAUCAUCAUUAAACAUACUUUCUUUUGGAGCCCUGUUUGUUCAUGUUUUGUAGUAUUUUUUCGAGUAUUUGUAAAUUCCUAGCUAAUAGGGGAAACACACAUUUAGGUGUGUGUUUGAGAAAAAAAAUAUUCAUGAGCUUAAGUCCUCAGUGUUUGGUGAAACUUUAAACUAUACACUUGCUAUUUCUGUAGCGUCUUCAGGGGGCAGCUUAUUCUAUCAACAUAUGCCAACCUGCAUAUUUAUUUUGUAUGCAAAUCUAUUCGACCCAAAUGCUUAAUGGUAUUGACUGUACUCUGAAUAUUGUGGGAGAUGUCAUUUUGAGAUUUUGCUAGCCUACUUUCUAUUGGAUUUCACUAUGAAUAUGUCCUUCCUCUAAAUCUGUGGGAAAGGUUCACCAGAAGUGCCAGGUAGAUGUAGCACUGACACUACAUUCCUAAAUAUAAGUCUCAAAAAGAAUAUUAGUACACCGGUCUUUAUGAUGCAAUGAACUUUGUUUCCCUAAUUGAACUGAUGCAGCGAAUAUUAGUACACCGGUCUUUUUCAACAAUACUCCUGACAUUAACGACCCAAAUGCGUGUUCAAUUUGACUGCCAUCUGAUAUUUCUACAAGGUAAUAUCAAAACAGAAAGAUAUGGAAGGGCAUGUUUUUUUUGUACAAUGUGAAGUAUAUUCAUGAAUGGGUAACUGGUACCUUCAUUUGAAUCAACUUCGUCAAAGAAUUUUGCUGCCAUGCGAUGCUCUUCAGUUAUGCGAGUGAUGAUCUAACAUUGUGCAAGUACACAGUUUCUUAUGUUAGCUUAGUUAAUCCAAACACACCAUGCCCAUGAUCAUCUGAAUAAACUGAAGGACAUGCAUGAUAUCACCGAGAGUGAAUACAGUGAUGUGCCUUGAUAUAAUAUGAAUAAUUUUUAUGUGUAAUUACAUUGAUUAGAUGCUGCUGCUUUUGUAAUAAGGUAUUAGCUUGCAUACGUGCAAUUUUUAGCUAGCAUUAUUCUUAGGAGGAUGGAGGCACUAUUACCCCUCCCUCUUCGUCACACGCCUAUCAGUCGUGGGCGUCGCCACCGACCGCCGAGACCUGGUCUGCUACGGAAUGCGUCGCUAAAAAGAUUGAGUAACAUCUUUCCAACAUACUUCUAUUUGUGAUGCUUUGUUCUGGAGUGCUAUCAUAAUUUCAUUGAUGUGCUAUUGUGCUUAUAAGUACUGAUGAUGGAUUCUAUUUCUAUGGCAAAUAUCCAUUUCAUAUUUUUGUAGCAUUGUUAAGUGUUUUGUUUGCCCUGAUUUGCAGUGUGUGUUAUGCUUGAAAGAGAUCAACUUUCCCUAUCUAGUGGCACUAACUUUGUUGCAUAUGGUGUUCUCAUCUGUAGUAUGCUUUGCAGCUACAAAGAUUUUCAAGAUACUUAAUAGCUAUACUGCCAUGGGUCAUUUGGCUAAUGGAGGUGUGUGGUGCAAUCUAAGCUGGACUACAACUUGUCUCAGCAGCACCCAAUGGCAGGCUGAAUGGUGUGGUGGCAUCUCCAAACCCUCAUGUGCCGUCCGUAGGGCAGUGGGCAACAAUAGGGCAGCAGGAUUACAAGAAUGCCAACAUGUAUGUUGGCGCUGACCCCUACGUAGUAUUACUACGGAGGCUGGGCGGAUUAUUCAGUCUAUGUGGGCGUUGACGGAGCAGAGUCAUUUAACCCUGGAAAUGUGCUAGCAAGGGUAUGAUUGAGCAUGAUGGACAUGAUGGAUGGCAGGAAAUAGAACUAUAGAAAGGGAGAUCUCGUAAAGUGUUUCGGCGAAUGGCGAUGCAAUGCUUGUGCUCCAGGGAGCAGGCCAAUGUGGUUGGAUGAGCUGUAUGCCAAAAAUGAUUGUCUUCAGGAAGCCAAGUUGUCUCUCGAGGAGGGUGGAUCCCUUAACUAUGAGAUUAUUUCAAGUCGCAAGAUAUUAGCAUAGACCUAAGCAUGUUGUGCUUCAAGAUGAGGAGCCAGGCCUGACGGCAAACACAGGAAGAGGUGGUGCGAUGGAAGAAUAUGGCUUGGACAAUUCCAGCGAGAUGUGGCUCCAGUGGAUGUCGGCGAUGCAGCAAUGAGAAGAUCCUUUAAUUUGGCUGCUCCCCUGUCCUCCCAAUCGUUUGUUUUCUUAGAAUUUAUUUCUCUUUCUUUCAUGAGUAGGGUUUAAUCUUUUGAAGUUUGUACAAGGGGUUUGAUGACCACCUGAUUGCCAUUCCUCUUCUCCUUGCCUUUCUUUUGGAGCAUGUUAGGCUUUGAUUUCAAUUUAAUGUUGUCCUCUACCAUCCACCUUGUAAGACUCUCACCUACUAUAUGAUAAUAUGGACCUAUUACCUUGA